AUCCAUCUGACGAGUCCCCCAAAGGACGAUAUGCGUAUCUUGGAU
rnacentral:hammerhead_ribozyme from 1 species